rnacentral:rRNA from 1 species
CCUACGGGUGGCAGCAGUGAGGAAUAUUGGUCAAUGGACGCGAGCCUGAACCAGCCAAGUAGCGUGCAGGAUGACUGCCCUACGGGUUGUAAACUUCUUUUAUACGGGAAUAAAGUCAGGCACGUGUGCCUUUUUGUAAGUACUUUAUGAAUAAGGAUCGGCUAACUCCGUGCCAGCAGCCGCGGUAAUACGGAGGAUUCAAGCGUUAUCCGGAUUUAUUGGGUUUAAAGGGUGCGUAGAUGGUUGGAUAAGUCAGUGGUGAAAGUCGGAGGCUCAACUGUAGAAUUGCCACUGAUACUGUCAGGCUAGAGUAUAGUUGAGGUAGGCGGAAUGUAUGGUGUAGCGGUGAAAUGCUUAGAGAUCACACAGAACUCCGAUUGCGAAGGCAGCUUACUAAGCUGCCUCUGACAUUGAGGCUCGAAAGUGUGGGUAGCAAACAGGAUUAGAUACCCCAGUAGUC